UACGUAGGGUGCAAGCGUUAAUCGGAAUUACUGGCGUAAAGCGUGCGCAGGCGGUUAUGUAAGACAGUUGUGAAAUCCCCGGGCUCAACCCUGGGAACUGCAUCUGUGACUGCAUAGCUAGAGUACGGUAGAGGGGGAUGGAAUUCCGCGUGUAGCAGUGAAAUGCGUAGAUAUGCGGGAGGAACACCGAUGGCGAAGGCAAUCCCCUCGGACCUGUACUGACGCUCAUGCACGAA
rnacentral:rRNA from 1 species